GUUUUAGUCCAGAAAAAGGAAGGCACUUAUUCGAGAAAUACAUAUUUUGCUUACUUUUCUUUAAAAAUCUGUUUUUCACAGAUUAAAGCAUCUGUGCUUGAUGCCAAUCAUAGGAUAGUAAUCCCAAAGUAUUUUUUUCAAACUUCUGCAUUUGUUCUCUCUCUCUCUCUCUCUCUCUCUCUCUCUUUAUUUGACAGAGUUAGACAGGGAGAGAGAGAGAGAGACAGAGACAAAGGUCCUCCCUCCUUUGGUUCACUCCUCAAAUGGCUGCCACGGCCGGUGCUGUGCCGAUCCAAAGCCAGGAGCCAGAUGCCUCCUCCUGGUCUCCCAUGCGGGUGCAGGGCCCAAGCACCUGGGCCAUCCUCCACUGCCCUCCUGAACCACAGCAGAGAGCUGGACCGGAAGAGGAACAACCAGGACUAGAACCCAGUGCCCAUAUGGUAUGCCAGCACCCGCAGGUGGAGGAUUAACCAAGUGAGCCACGGCGCCAGCCCAUGCACUUGUUCUCUUAAAGAUUGCGCAGGUUUUCCUUUUUGUAUUCACUUUGUUUUGCAUCAUGUCCACAAAAGAAGGGCUACCUAAUAGCUCCCUCAUUCAGCAGGCGUAAAUGACAGAGACAUGAUUUCACUGGUCACCGCACGGCGUGUGAUUUAACCAUUUGACAAACUACAUACCACGUGGGUGGGAUGAGAACUGCAGUGCAUGGACUCAGAAAACAAACUUGUGACACCCCUGCCCCAGGUUAGAGAAAUGGGACUCCUGAGAAUCUGAAACCAUUCAGACACACCUUCAGCGGCCGCAACACACGUCUGCUACAAAGGUGAGGAGCAUCAGGAAGGCAGGCAGGCAGGCAGUGGAGUUCCGAGGGAGGGGAAUUCUGCUCCAGACAUCAAUGGAAUCGCUGAACUUUUGCGGAGGUGAGAGGAAAAAAGAGCAAUUAAUAGUUUCCAGAUUCAGGGCCUGGGGGCACACCCUGGUCAGCUGGUGAACAGUCAGUUGUGGUCUUUCUUCCUGCUCUGUGUCUGUGCUAAGACUUGUCCGUAAGCUUGGUUUGAAGCAUCUGCUGUCCUAUACCAUUAGUCUUCCAGGACUGCCCCUUUCACUAUGAUGAUAAAUUGAGCGUUCCUGUUGAAUUUGAGGGAUAACAAUUUGAAGAGUAUUGGAUCAACUUUAAAGUCAACACUAUAGAAAAACAAACACAUGUCUAAUGAUUCCUAGUGAAUACACAGAGCAAAAAAUUGCCUCCAAGAACGCUCAAACAAUUCAUCAUGAGAGUUCUCGGUGAUUUAGUACACCACAUGGCUCUCAUAGGUCAAUCUGGCCAUGAAAAUCAGUUUUUGAUUAUUAGUGUUUUUAUUAUUUUUAGUUAACAGCACUCAGAAAACAUUUAAACAUGGUUAUUUUUACCAUAAGCAGGAGUAAG
rnacentral:lncRNA from 1 species